rnacentral:rRNA from 1 species
AGAGUUUGAUCCUGGCUCAGAAUGAACGCUGGCGGCGCGUCUUAAGCAUGCAAGUCGAGCGGGAGUACCUAGCUUGCUAGGUAUGAGAGCGGCGGACUGGUGAGUAACGCGUGGGUGAUGUACCCUUUGGACGGGGAUAGCUCCUAGAAAUAGGAGGUAAUACCGGAUACGGUGUAUGUUGUCAGAGGACAUACAGGAAAGGUUCUGUUGAACCGCCGAAGGAGCGGCCCGCGUACUAUUAGCUAGUUGGUGAGGUAACGGCCCACCAAGGCGACGAUAGUUAUCCGGCCUGAGAGGGUGAACGGACACAUUGGGACUGAGAUACGGCCCAGACUCCUACGGGAGGCAGCAGCUAAGAAUAUUCCGCAAUGGACGAAAGUCUGACGGAGCGACGCCGCGUGGAUGAUGAAGGCCGGAAGGUUGUAAAAUCCUUUUGUACGCGAGGAAUAAGGAAAAUGAGAGAAACGUUUUCUGGUGACGGUAGCGUACGAAUAAGCAACGGCUAAUUACGUGCCAGCAGCCGCGGUAACACGUAAGUUGCGAGCGUUGUUCGGAAUUAUUGGGCGUAAAGGGCAUGUAGGCGGAAGUGCAAGUCUGGUGUGAAAUUCAGGGGCCCAACCCCUGAACUGCGUUGGAAACUGCACUACUUGAGUCACUGAGGGGCAGGCAGAAUUCCUGGUGUAGGGGUGAAAUCUGUAGAUAUCAGGAAGAAUACCGAUGGCGAAGGCAGCCUGCCAGCAGAUGACUGACGCUGAGGUGCGAAGGUGCGGGGAGCAAACAGGAUUAGAUACCCUGGUAGUCCGCACAGUCAACGAUGUACACUGGGUGUCCGGACUGGAGUCUGGGUGCCGAAGCAAACGCGGUAAGUGUACCGCCUGGGGAGUAUGCCCGCAAGGGUGAAACUCAAAGGAAUUGACGGGGGCCCGCACAAGCGGUGGAGCAUGUGGUUUAAUUCGAUGGUACGCGAGGAACCUUACCUGGGUUUGACAUACAAGUGAAUUAUAUAGAGAUAUGUAAGCGUAGCAAUACGCACUUGAACAGGUGCUGCAUGGCUGUCGUCAGCCCCCCCUCUUCUUUUUUUUGGGUUAAGUCCCGCGUCGAGCGCAACCCCUCCUGCCAGUUACCAACAGGUAAAGCUGGGGACUCUGGCGGAACUGCCGGUGACAAACCGGAGGAAGGUGGGGAUGACGUCAAGUCAUCAUGGCCCUUAUGUCCAGGGCUACACACGUGCUACAAUGGUGGCUACAGAGCGAAGCAGAGCCGUGAGGCCGAGCGGAACGCAGAAAGGCCAUCGUAGUUCGGAUCGGAGUCUGAAACCCGACUCCGUGAAGCUGGAAUCGCUAGUAAUCGCACAUCAGCACGGUGCGGUGAAUACGUUCCCGGGCCUUGUACACACCGCCCGUCACACCAUCCGAGUGGGGGGUACCCGAAGCCGGCAGUCUAACCGCAAGGAGGACGCUGUCGAAGGUACGCUUCGUGAGGGGGGUGAAGUCGUAACAAGGUAACC